rnacentral:rRNA from 1 species
UAUUCUUAACAGUAAAAAGAUAUGUUUACCUAAGUAUUAUGAAUGUUAUUUAAAAUUUAAAGGACUUGGCGGUGUUUUAUACUGCUUAGGGGAACUUGUCUCAUAAUCGAUGGUCCGCGUUUAACCUGACCUUUAUUGGUUGUUCAGUAUGUAUACCGUCGUCGUCAGGUAACUUUGUAGAAUUUAGAAGUUAGCGUGGUUGAAAUAAGUUGUAUUUAAAUGUGUUGUGACGUCAGAUCAAGGUGCAGCUUAUGUGGGGGGGAGGAUGAGUUACAUUUAUGUGGAUAUAAUGAUGAAUGGAAAUGUGAAAUUGUUUCUUGAAGGUGGACUUAAAAGUAAAGAUGUUAUUUAUUUAGAUGUUUUGAAUUUAGCUCUGGAAUGUGUACACACCGCCCGUCACCCUCA